CCUAUCCUGGAAUCAACAUAGUCCUCCCUCCUUUUCCCAGAAAGAUCAGCAGAAAUGCCUGGGGAAGCCCCAGCUGAAGGCAGGGCUAGGAGAAGUAGGAGGAGUAUGAGUGGAUCAGGAAGAGCGCAGGUCGCGAAGUAAAUUGGGAGCAGCCCAAGUCUGAGGCAGAAUGGGGGAGCAGUCCUACCUUUUUCCAAACCGUCUAAGGCAAUGAAAGGGGGACUUGGGGAAAGGUCCCCCCUACGCGCUUCCCGGUAGCCUGAGGUUUUGUUUUCCAGAUACUUCUGUCAAAGGCAAGAGUCCCAGAUAAUGUGAAAUGAGUGAAUUCAUAAGAAAUUUAAACAUUUUGGCUAUGAACAAAGAAGUCCAUAUGCAAGUGACUAUAUGGUCUUUGAGAAACAUCAGCAAACAGGAAGAAAAAGUUUGGCACCUAACUGAAGAAGUGAACAAGAUUACUCUUUCCUUAUCAAUAUUGCUUUGAUGGUGAAAGGACUUGCAUGCUGAAGAACAUGGAAUUAAUUUUUAUUAUUAUAAUAACUGCCAUCAGUUGUAUUGCCAUAUUAAUUUUAUAUUCUUUAUUACAUUGCUUAUUUUGCCCUCAUAGUCGAUAUGAAACUGAUAGAAAAAGAAAUUCAUUAGGAGCUGGUUGUCACUGGGAAGGAGAUGACACAUUUGGAAGAAAUGAUGAUUAUUUGGGAGAAGUUGAUGCUUAUAGAGGAGAUGAUUCCCAUGAAAUAGGUGAUACAUGUGGAGGAAGUGAUUCCUGGGGAGGUGGUGGUACAUGGGGAGGAGAUGAUAUGUGUGGAGAAGGUGAUACAUGUGGAGGAGGUGAUUUGUGUGGAGGAGGUGAUUCCUUUGGAGGAGGUGAUACAUGUGGAGGAGGUGAUUCCUUUGGAGGAGGUGAUACAUGUGGAGGAGGUGAUUAGUUUGGGAUUGUGGUCUAAGAAGAGAAGAGAAAAGAAAAGAGAAUUGUUCUGGUUCAAUGACUUGAAAUAUAUCUUACCCCUGUCCACUAGAGGCACAGAUUUAUUAUCAGAUCAGCUUGAGUCCUUGUUUUGUAUUGGAGUGAGUAUCUAAUCCUAAGUCAAAAAACUCCAUUUGACUAAAAGAAAUUCAUUUUUACAAAAUGAUGGGAUUCUUUGCCUUGUAAGAGAAGGUUGGCAAUCAUGGAAGGUCAAUGAACUUGGAAGAGCUGCAGAAGAUCUACAGCAGUGGGAGAUGAGGAAAAAGAACACGGAACUUUGGAGAAAGAGGGAGGAGUGAGUUGAUCCAGCAGUUGGGAGACUGACUUCUGUCUGGAAACACACCAGAGAGGUUGGCUCCAGCUAAUUCUCUGAACCAGUGAUCUCUUUCCCUGUGAUUCCUGACUCCAGAUCCUCACAAGAAGACAAGCCAAUUGGACAGGCCUUUGAAAUUUAAGCUGUCCACUAAGAGACAUUUCCAUCAACCUCCUUGAACUUGAACUUGGGGACACUUUCUGUCCAGCCAAGAACAAGAGUCUCUUUACUCUGACCCCAAGGGGUCAGGUGAACCAAACCCUGAUCUGCCUGGCUUUGGGGGGGAAGGGUAUUAGUUAGAUAGGGAACCCUUCUCCCUCCUUCCUUCCUGAACCUCAUUUCCUUACCCUCAAUCUGCCAUGUUCCUUUUCUGUUUUCCUCAAAUAAAGUCAGUUAAGACCCAGGAACUGACUCAGACUGUUACUAGAGGGAAACUUCAACGGGAUCCUUCAAAGAACCCAGCAGUUAAGAGUAGAAGACAGCCAUAGUGGGGUGGUGGUGUCAGAGAGUGCUGAGGGAGGAAGGACAAACCAUGCUCCUUUAUCUCCCUUAGCUUAUCAAUAUCACCUUCUCACUCUGUCUCUGUCUCAGAUGGGGAAGACUUCAUUCUCUUUUUCACCUUUCUUCCCUUGUCAUAAAUACCUUGUUUACCCCUAUAUUAUAACCUUCAAAAAGGCUUCCAAGGUAUGGCAUAUAAACAAAUGAUUAGAUGGGCAAAAAAGAACUAGAGGAGAAAUUUAAAAUAGACUAUGAUGUCAAUAAUUCUUUAAACAUUCUUUUAAAAAAGCACAGAUAGGAAGUUUAAUCUUUGUGGAACACCAUGACCAGAAAAAGAAAGUUCACUCAGGAGGGACAUGAUAACUUUUUUGGCCUCCAUUUUUUUACUGAAGAGAGGUUGGGGAGACAAUUUUUCCCCAAAUGUUUCCUGAAGUAGACUCCAUUAGAUUAUGAUAAACACAUGAGAUUCUAGACCUCAUUGAGAAACUAGGUGUGAAGAAAGCCCAAGAUUCAAGGUCUCUCAAGAAGGAGGACAUACCUUAAUUGGUUCAAUUUCUCCCUCUGGGAGGAGGGAGGGAGCAAGCAUUUAUUGGGUUAUAGGUGCUAUUAUCUCCAUAUUACAAUGGAGGAAACUGAGACAAAGAAAAGUUAAACAAUUUUCCCAGUGUCAUUCAGCUACAAAAUAUCAAAAUUUGGAUUUGAACUUAGGCCUUCCUCACUCCAGACCAAACAAUCCUUUGCAUUGUGCAUUAUAGCUGCCUCAAGGGUCUCAAAUGCCAUCAAGUGCAACACCCUUAUUUUAUGGAUGAGGAAACUGAAGCAUAGAGAGUGGAAUUAACUUACUUAAGAUGAGGCAAGUAGUAAAUUUUGGAGAUGAGAUUUCAAUUCAAGUUCUUUAACUGUUGUUUCACCUAAUAAAAUGUAAUCACUGAAGGGACAUGAA